GAUGAAGAACGUAGCGAAAUGCGAUAAGUAAUGUGAAUUGCAGAAUUCAGUGAAUCAUCGAAUCUUUGAACGCAUCUUGCGCUCCUUGGUAUUCCUUGGAGCAUGCCUGUUUGAGUAUCAUGAGCAAAUCUCAAAGUCAAUUCCUUUUGUUAAUUCAAUUGGUUUUGCUUUGGACUUGGAGGUCUUGCAGAUUUCACAGUCUGCUCCUCUUAAAUCCAUUAGCUGGAUCUCAGUAAUUAUGCUUGGUUCCACUCGGCGUGAUAAGUAUCACUCGCUGAGGACACUGUUAAAAAGGUGGCCAGGAAAAUACUGAUUGAACCGCUUCUAACGGUCUAUUAAGUUAGACAAUUGACCCCUUAAGUUUGAUCUCAAAUCGGGUAGGACUACCCGCUGAACUUAAGCAUAUCAAUAAGCGGAGGA
rnacentral:misc_RNA from 1 species